rnacentral:misc_RNA from 1 species
GAUGAAGAACGUAGCGAAAUGCGAUAAGUAAUGUGAAUUGCAGAAUUCAGUGAAUCAUCGAAUCUUUGAACGCACAUUGCGCCCCCUGGUAUUCCGGGGGGCAUGCCUGUUCGAGCGUCAUUUCACCACUCAAGCCUCGCUUGGUAUUGGGCAACGCGGUCCGCCGCGUGCCUCAAAUCGUCCGGCUGGGUCUUCUGUCCCCUAAGCGUUGUGGAAACUAUUCGCUAAAGGGUGUUCGGGAGGCUACGCCGUAAAACAACCCCAUUUCUAAGGUUGACCUCGGAUCAGGUAGGGAUACCCGCUGAACUUAAGCAUAUCAAUAAGCGGAAGA